AACAGACUCGGAGCACUCCAGCAACAGCAGAAGAAGCAGCGGCAAAGGAGACCUGGCCUAGGGAGGGUGGACCGAAGCGACUCUUUCGUUUGCAUUCCAUACAGGCAACGUGAUGCAAAGCAGACCAAUGAGCGUAAAGGUGUAGCUACUGGGCCACAGAGGAGCUUUAAAGAUAUGUGACACUUUGUUUGGCCCUCUUCAAAACGGAGGUCAACAUCAGCGACCUCAAAACAGCACCCCUGGAGCCUUUUGAUUCAGGGUUUUGUUCCGGGCCACUUCUUUGGCUUCUCUAUCUGCAGAAGAAGAAGGGACGAGAGGAAAUGUCAGAAAGUAAAACACAGACUGACUAGAACAACAAAAACGU